rnacentral:rRNA from 1 species
GAUGAACGCUGGCGGCGUGCCUAAUACAUGCAAGUCUAGCGAACAGACGAGGAGCUUGCUCCUCUGACGUUAGCGGCGGACGGGUGAGUAACACGUGGAUAACCUACCUAUAAGACUGGGAUAACUUCGGGAAACCGGAGCUAAUACCGGAUAAUAUAUUGAACCGCAUGGUUCAAUAGUGAAAGACGGUUUUGCUGUCACUUAUAGAUGGAUCCGCGCCGCAUUAGCUAGUUGGUAAGGUAACGGCUUACCAAGGCGACGAUGCGUAGCCGACCUGAGAGGGUGAUCGGCCACACUGGAACUGAGACACGGUCCAGACUCCUACGGGAGGCAGCAGUAGGGAAUCUUCCGCAAUGGGCGAAAGCCUGACGGAGCAACGCCGCGUGAGUGAUGAAGGUCUUCGGAUCGUAAAACUCUGUUAUUAGGGAAGAACAAAUGUGUAAGUAACUAUGCACGUCUUGACGGUACCUAAUCAGAAAGCCACGGCUAACUACGUG